CGGCGGACGGGUGAGUAAUGCCUAGGAAUCUGCCUGGUAGUGGGGGACAACGUUUCGAAAGGAACGCUAAUACCGCAUACGUCCUACGGGAGAAAGCAGGGACCUUCGGGCCUUGCGCUAUCAGAUGAGCCUAGGUCGGAUUAGCUAGUUGGUGGGGUAAUGGCUCACAAGGCGACGAUCCGUAACUGGUCUGAGAGGAUGAUCAGUCACACUGGAACUGAGACACGGUCCAGACUCCUACGGGAGGCAGCAGCU
rnacentral:rRNA from 1 species